rnacentral:lncRNA from 1 species
AUUGAUGAGUAGAACAUAUAUUAGAUUCAAGCCGAUCUGAUGGUCAGUGUCGGAGAUUGGAAAAGAAAACUAUUUCGAUUUUGGUUUGUAGAUUCGUGAUUUUCCUAGCUAUUUCAUAAAAAAAAUGUAACACCCCUUACCCGAGACCGUUUCCGGAGUCGAGCACGAGGCAUUACUUAGCUUAUCUUACCAAUUCGGAGCAUAAAAACUAGGUUUGAAAAUUUAUUUCAUUAUUCGCAGCAAAUCUGUCUAAUCGCGCAGCAGUUACUAAAUUAAUUAUAACUUGAGCUACAGAACUCGAAAUUUAAUCCCGUAAAUUUUCCCUGAAACUAGACUCAUAUAUCUACUCACCAUAAAAUUUUUAGAAUUUUUGGUUCAGCAAAUUAGUACAGUUUAUUAGUUAAAGUCUCCCCUAUGUCACCACCAGACUGCCCUGACCUCUAGUCACUAAAAAUAAGUUUUCUCACUAUAGGAUUUUCAUAUGAAGUUCUUACUUGUUUCUAUAGAAAAUAGACUCAUUAAGGAAUCUAAGCAUGUAAAUUUCAACUCAUAACCAUUUUUGUACAAUUUGUAAUUAUUUUCUAAACUCAGAACAGGGGACUCCAAAAACAGUUCUGACCCUAUCUUACUAAAAUUCACAUAUCUUAAAAUAUAAAUUUCUUUUUUUCUACACCGUUAUUUUUCCAUGAAAAUAGACUCAACAAGCUUUAAUUCCAUAUAUCAUUCACCCUCUAAUUCAUUUUAUACUAUCUUGGGUGAUUUUUCAAAUUCACGUCACUGUGCUGCCUGAAUUCUGUUUCUUUGAAAAAUUUUAUCCUUUCAUGAUUUCCAUGCAUAAUUUAUCACCUAAUCUUUCAUAACAACAAACACCUUCAUCCUUAAUCAUUUUAAUAACCAUACAUCAUCAAAUACUUACACAUCACUCAUUAGCAAAAUCAUCACUACAAACAUACAAAAUAACUAAAUCCCUAUACAUGCCAUAACUUAAACGUGUUUCGAUAUAAAAUACCGAGCAGUUGUAGUUGAUAGUGUGGACGAUCUCCGACUUCUUUAGGAUCCUUGAAGUAGCUUUGCAAUACUAUAAGAGAAAGAGAAAUAAAAGAAGUAAGCAUAAAGCUUAGUAAGUUUACUAGCAAAUAAAUAACAAUAUUUAACUUAAAUAAUUAAACUCAAUGUCUAUAUCUCUAGUUUACUCUUUAGUUAAUCUCAUACUAGUUCUCUUACUUGUUUACUUAGAAUAUUUGUGUGCAUAACUUACUCAAUCCUUGCUGCAUCGUUGAACAUCAAUUGAUAGUAUAAUAAGUUCUUAAGUCUUACAACUUACCUGAGCUUGCCAUUUAUGCUUUAAACUGAACUUUCAUGAACAUGAUUCGUUUACAAGCCCGUUGAACUACAUUGGAAUAAUAAGGAUACUCGGGUCUCUUCUGAUAAUAACAUGCCAAAGCCAUGUCCCAGAUAUGGUCUUACAUGGGAUGUUCUCGUGAUGGUGCCCAUGCCAUGUCCCAGACAUGGUCUUAUAGGGGACCUCUCAUCUCGGUGCCAACGCCAUGUCCCAGACAUGGUCUUACAUGGGACCUCUUGUCUCGGUGCCCAUGCCAUGUCCCAGACAUGGUCUUACAGGGGACCUCUCAUGAUCUUAAGGAUGCCAAUGCCAUGUCCCAGACAUGGUCUUACAUGGGAUCUCUUUACCCAAAUGUCAUGACAUUCGUAUCCAGUACCAUCCUUAUGUAUCAACGGGACUUUUAAAUUUUAAUUAUCUAUCAUUUCAUGCUUGGAUCAUCAUCAAAUAAAUUCAUAAAAUAAAUUCAUAAUUGCUGGAAAUUAACAGCAUUAAUAAUAAAUAUUGAAAUAUUGCAUUUAUUUACCGUAAACUUACCUCGGUACCAAUUAUAGCCAAAUUCACCAACUUAGUCUUCAACUUUAUUCUUCCCUUUGUCUAACCUCGAGUUUCGUACUUCUUGAUCAAAUUACUUUGAACCUUAAAACCCCAAAUUUCCCUUUUUCUUUUCUUUUCUUUCUUUCUUUCCUUCCUUCCUUCUCUGUUUCGUUUUGCUCUCUGUUUCUUUCUUUCUCCCUUCUCUGUUUUGUUUUGCUCUCUGUUUCUUUUCUUUCUUUCUUUGUCAUAUAUAUAUAAUAAUAAUAAUAUAAUAUAAUAUAAUAUAAAAACAUAAUUAUUACUUACGCAUGUAUAAUAUAUAAUAUAUAUAUUUUAAAUUAAAAAUAUCUUAGAUUUUUCUUUUGUUAUGCCGCCUCAACUUUAGAAAAAGGCAUAAUUGCCUAUUUGGUCCUUUAACUUUUCUUUAAUCUAUAAUUAAACUUUUAUCCUUACUUCAAUUUAGUCCUUUUUCAUAAUUAACUAUCAAAGCGUUAAAAUUUCUUAACGAAACUUUAAUAUUAUCCUGUUGACACUCCGUAAAUAUUUUUAUAAAUAUUUACGGCUCAGUUUAUAAUAUCGAGGUCUCAAUAUCUCGUUUUCGACCCAAUUUACCUAAUAAUUUCUUUUAAAUCACAAAAUUCACUGAUUUAAAAAUAUUUCUAAAAUCACACUUAACUUAUAAUUAUUAAUUAAUAAAUUUUUCUAACUUUUUCAUCAAUUUUAGUGAUCUCAAAUCACUAUUCUGACACUACUAAAAUUUGGGCUGUUACAAAAAAACUAAACUGUAAACAAGAAAGGAGAGAAGAGCUUUCGAUUGGUGCAGGCAGUGUGAACGGAGAAGGCCAUACAACAACGAUUUUAAUAGCCUAGUCUUAAAUGAAAACUUUUGAAUAGUUCAAUGAUCAAAUUGUAACUUUUUAAAGAUGAGUGACCAAAACGUAAAUGUACUAAUAAUUUAAUGAUCUUGGGUGUAGUUUACCUAAAAAAACAACAAGGAAAUUGCUUAAUAAUUUAGUAAUAAAUUGAACCAUCAAUCGAAAAUAACAUUCAAUUGAAGCCUUAAUUAAAUAUAAACAAUCAAUUAAGCACUUGAAAAAUCAAUUUUUGAGUAAGCACCUAACAUUGGUAAGUUAUCCGUGUGACAAAAUAUAGUAAUUUUCCCUAAAAAUGUUUUAAAAACAUUAAAAAAUUUUUAAAAUUUAUAAAAUAUUUAGAUUUUUCAAAAAAAUUUAAAAAAAGAAUUUUCAAAAGUUAUAAAAAAACUACUAAAAAAAUUAAAAUUUUAAAAUUAUAAAAAAUGCAAGUGUUUUUAUUAUAAUUAAAAAAAUUAUAUAUUUUUUAAAAAAGCAAAAAAUUAUAAAAUACUAAAAAUAAUAGAAAAUUAUUAAAAAUUUGUAUAACAAUUAUAAAAAUAUAACAAAUUAUAGGAGACAUGAUUGAUCAAUUUAUUGAUAUCAUCAAUAUAAGCAUUAGUGCUGUGUGGGAACAUGGUGUUGUUCUUAGAACCUGAACCUCCUGCCUUCUAUGUUAAUUAAAUUUUGAUUUUUUUUUUCUCGACAGUUAAACUUUUUAUGUGGCACCUUAAUAAAUCAUGUAGACACUUUUUCAUAAUUUUAUAUUAUUUUUAUUUUUUUAAUUUUCUAAAAAAAUUAGUAUUUUUUGCAAUUUUUAUAAUUUUUGGAAAUUCCAAUUUUUAAUAAUUUUAUAUUAUUUUUAAAUAAAUUUUAUAAGUUUUGAAAGUCUAACUUUUUAUUUUUUUUUAAAAAAAUUCCUAUUAUUUUAACAAUUAUUUUAUUUUUUUUGCGGUUUUAUAAAAUUUUAAAAAUUCUAUUUCUUUAUUUUAUUUUUUGAAAAUCUAAGUUUUUUAUUAUAUAAUUUUAGAUUUUUCUAAAGAACAUUUUAGAAAUCUUUUAUGUUUUUUAAAAUUUUAAAGAAAAAUACCAUAUUUUAUCACAUGUCAAAUUUAAUAGUGUUAGGGGCUUACACGAAAAUUAUUUUUUUCUUUAAGGUUUAAUUGAUUGUAUAUAUUCGAUUAAAACUCAAUUGGGUGUUAUUUUCAAUUGAGAGUUGAAUUGAUUAUUAAAUAACUUUAGAGGGUUUUUUUUCAUAUAUUAACAAGCAAGAGUAAUAUAGCCAAAGAAACAACUAUAUCUUUACUCUUGAAAAACUCAUUCUGAGGUUAAAAAAUCUAUAACUCGUAUUUUCGUAAAUUUAGAAUUUAGUUUUUAUAUUUUUAUUUUUAAGAAUUUAGUCUCUUUAUUUUUUUGAUUUUAAAAUUUAAGUCAAACUGAUAACACUGAUAAACUUAUUUUGCAAAAUUCGAGUUCAUUAAAAUGUUAUUUUUAGUUAUAUUUCUUCCAGGUGAGUAUUUCUUUUUUAAUUUUAAAAUGCCAUACCAACGAAUUUAAUAAAAGAAAGAGUAUUAACAAUUGAGCCUAAAUAUUGAAAUAUAAAAAAUAGAGAUUAAAUUUUUAAAAAUAAAAAUAUAUGGAUUAUAUUCUAAAUUUGUGAAGAAUGCAAGUAUCUAUAAACAUAUUUUAACCUUUUAAUUAUCAAACUUGACAUGAUAAAACUUUUAAAACUUCAAACAUAGGUCGAUUGAGUUUUAGCUUGAAUGACAUAGACAUUGUUGCUAAUGCAGGAGGAUGCGGGUCCGAGUGCGUUGAAUAGUAUUAUCCUCCUAUAUAUGGAUAGUUUUAAGCAUCGUGUCAAAAAAGAGUACUAAUAUAGUCAGAACUUGACAUAAUCGUCUAUUUUUACCGUGGCAUGGUCACUUUCUUAUAGGAAGUUCCUGUAUGAGAAAGUGGAAUUCUAAAUUUCUUGGAUUUAACGUUACAGGGUCAUCUGAAGGUACCGGUUUGAAGAUUAAACUAAUCAUAGGUAAAUAUACUGACUCCUUUAUAUCUCUAUUUGGAAGAAUGAAAAUAAACUAUUAUGAAACUGAUCCCAUCCCUUUAAAACAGGGUUUGCAGUGGUUGGGGUUACUGUUAUGGUAAUUUGCCUUGUGGCGUUUGCCUUGAAGCUUAAGAAAGGAUCGUUGUCAAGUGGGAAGCUGAUGAAUUUACAGCAGAAUAUAAGUAAGAACACUAAAAGGGUUGAAGCAUUCAUCAUGAGAUACGGUUCAGAGCUUGCCCCAAAGCGAUAUUCUUAUUCAGACAUCAAGAAAAUCACCAAGUCGUUCAAAGACAAGCUCGGCGAAGGCGGAUUCGGCACUGUCUACAAAGGCAAGUUGCCUGACGGUCGUCUUGUUGCAGUUAAAGUCCUGAGUGAAUCAAGGGAGGAUGGAGAGGAAUUCAUUAACGAAGUGGCGAGUAUUAGUCGAACUUCUCAUGUCAAUGUGGUGACGUUUCUUGGAUUUUGUUAUGAGAGUUCGAUGAGAGCUUUGUUCUAUGAAUUCAUGCCGAAUGGAUCAUUGGAUAAGUUUAUUUACCAGCACGGAUCGCAGGAUAAAAUUUGUAUGCUAAACCAGAAAACAUUGUUUGAAAUUGCUGUUGGCAUUGCUAGAGGACUAGAAUAUCUACAUCGAGGAUGUAACACCAGGAUUUUGCAUUUGGACAUAAAACCACAUAACAUCCUGUUAGACGAAAACUUCGUUCCCAAGAUUUCAGAUUUCGGUCUUGCUAAGUUAUGCGAGCGGAAGGAAAGCAUUCUUUCAUCGAUAACUGCUCGAGGAACAAUAGGAUACAUUGCUCCAGAACUAUUUUGUCGAAACUUUGGAGGCAUUUCUUACAAAUCCGAUGUUUAUAGCUACGGGAUGAUGGUCCUUGAAAUGGUUGGAGCAAAGGAAAGCGUUCAUGCCGGAGGGUCUCUAACAAGUGAAAUGAACUUUCACUCAUGGAUUUACAAACAUCUCCCACAAGAUGCAUUCAAUCUUGAAGGAAUCACAGCAGAAGAUGAAGAAAUAACUAAGAAGAUGAUUAUAGUAAGCUUAUGGUGCAUUCAAACUAAUCCAUCAGACCGACCGUCGAUGACGAAAGUGCUAGAGAUGCUACAAGGAAAUCUUCAAUCAUUAGCAAUUCCACCAAGACCUUUUCUGUUUUCUCCUCAACAAUCGCCCCCAAACACCUCGUCUACAAUAUCAUUAUUUGCAUCAUCCAUUACCAUGAACACCGAAUAACUAGACCACGGUAAUUUUUUUUCUUUUUAUUAUUAAAAAAUUAACUUCUUUUAUCUUAUAGAAAAGUUUUAAUGCAUGUAUAUUUCAUUAGAGUUGUUUGGUUCAGAUCAGAUACGGAUCAAACUAUUAUACAGGUAAAAUAAUCAACAUUUGUUCAAAUCUUAUUCCUACUAAUAUUAAAAUCUAAGUCAAAAUCAUAUUUUAAAUGUAUCCAACUAUUUUUUCAAAAUUUAUUUUAAACCUUCUUAAAUAUUCAAAUAGAUUUUCGACACAUCUAUAUUUCAUAACAGUUUGUUAGGAUACAGGGUUUAUGAUAAAGUUGUUCUCAUAAUAGCUUUCAUUGUUUAUAUAUGUCGCUGUCAUGUAUUUAUUUUUUAUCUUAUAUGCUUUAAGAGUUUGAUCUCUUCAAUUAAUUUCCGAAUUAUUUAUUUUAAUUAAAAAUAAAUUAGAUGAUUCCCUGCUAAAAUUCAAUUGGAUUGCCCUUUUUUUACUUUAAAUUAUUUUAAUUUGUUUAAAAAUAAAGGAUGAGUCACAAGUAAAUUAUUACUCUUUGAAUCUAUUGAUCAAACCAUACUUUUUCUUACUUUGACUUGACAAAUAAUUAAUAAUAUGAAAAAUCAUUUACUGCGCUAUUACUAGAUUUUAAAAAUUUCACAAGUAGACGUGAAAUAUUAUUAAAAAAACCUGAAACAUACAUGUGUUUUAUAUUAAAUCUUGAUUGUAGAGUUAAAAAUUCUUUUUACAUUAAUUACUUGAGUAAAUAUUCGGGAUAAAAAAAAUAAAAUUUUAAUCUAAAAAAAAUUUAUGCUUUAAUUGAUAAAAAAAAUUCUUCAAUUUUAAUAUUGAGUAAAUUUAUUUUUUUAAAUAUUUUAAUCCCCGUCAAUUUUAAAAGUGAACAUCUAAAGAUAUUUAAUUACAAAAUUAAUAUUUUUGUCAAUUGUACAUAAUUUUAAUUUGUAUAAUAUCUUAAAGUUUUCAAGUUUUGCUUAUUUAUAUAUAUGUUUUUUAAUUUUGUAUUUUUUAAAAAAUAGAUAUUUUUAAAUUGAUAAUAUAUAUAAACAUUGAAACUUAAUUUGUUAUUAUAUCAAUUAAAAUUAUGUAUAAUUGAUGAAAAUAUUUAAUUUAGUUUAAAUUUUUUUAAAGGGCUUUAGGUUAGUUUAAUAAACUUUCAAGCUUCAAUACAUUUGAUUGUUUUAACAAAUAACAAGUAAUUAUAUGCUAUUUCCUGGGAUUAAUGUCUAUUUAAUAUCAUUUUAGAUUUCUUGAUGAAAUUUUGGUUUAAUAUCAAAAUUAAAAUUAUCAAGGUUAUAAACUUUAGGUUUGAGUUUUACUCUCAUGCAUGAAUUUUAUAUUUCAAUUAUUAAUCCAUUUAUAUUUAUAAUAAUUAAUUAUAAUUGUAAUUAUUUGUUAUUAUUUUAUAAUUUACGCUCACAGAGAAAGGAAAGUAACAAAACUGAUAAAAAGUCACAAGACAUACCAACAUAAAUUUGACUUUUGACCAAUCUUUUUCCUUUUUUGUCCUUUUCAAAGUUCAAAAAAAUAGACAAAAAAUAUGACCAAAAACACUAUUGGUUAACCAAAACUGAAUUUCAAGUCAACAAAAAAAAAUCAGUUUUAUUGAAAAUAUCUUAAAUUUGUGAAAAUGAUCCCUUUUUAGUUAAAACAAAAAAAAAGCCCAUCCCUAUCUAUAAAUAAAAAUAAAAUAAAGAAGACGUUUUAUAAAUAAAAAAAUAAAACUGUAUUUUUAAGUGUAGAUAAUUUAUAAGCAAACAGUAAAAAUUUUCAGCUAUAAUUUUCGUAAAUUCCUAAUUAUAUAUAUUUUGUUAUAUACUUUUUAUUUUAUUUUAUUUAAUGGGAGAUGGGUCCCACCUUAUCUAUCGUCACGCUAAACUGCAUGAUCACGUGAAAGGGAGCAGAGGUGGGAGGUCCCCCCGAGUCCGCAUCAUCUUUUGCUGGACUCCCACACAUGGAGACACAGAGAUCGGUUAUAUAACUUUUUGUUUAUCUAUUAAUUUAUUUGGGUUGGGCCGGUGGGAGUAAACUCGCACGUGCGCCGAACUUUUGACACUUGUGAUAUUAUUAUUAUCUUGCUUUUCUUAUUGGAUAGUCAUCGACGACAAAGACGGUUGCUGAACCGAUAAUAAGAAUACUGGACACGUGGCUUCCAAACGUCACACUUUGGUCACGCAGUUAGAGAGACUAACAUGUUGCUUUAUCAUCUGCAUUUUCACUUUUUCCAAUUUGUCCCUCCUUUUUCUUAAAAAAAAAUUUAAAUAUAAAAAAAUUUUAUAUUCCAAGAUAUAAUAAUUAUUCAACACAUUAAUAUCUAUGGACUUGUUCAGCUAAUGCUUAAAAAAUCCUCUGCCUCUAUUUUUUUUUUCUUUAAAACAACUUCUUUGAGUUGAUGUUGAUGCAAAUUUUAAAUUAUUUAUAUUGUUAUUCACCUGUGUUUUAUUAGCAAAAUUUUCAAUGAUCAGUGGCAAAGUUGUAAAUUGAGAAAAGAUCAAGGGCGAUGAUAUCCAAUAAGUACAGUUUUAGCUGACCACCUCGCAAAUCCGUGUUAAUUUCCAAGCACUUGUUCAUUUCAUUUCAAAGCUUUUUCUAUCAAACAUACAUCUUCUGUUUUUCUUCCCGGGUUUUUAACUUUAACAACCCAAAACCAUUCCCGGUUUCCCGGUCUACCCAUUAAUCCGUCGAUUCGAUUCCACCUCCAACUAGAUUUUAUCAAAUCUGCUUUCACAGUUCCCCACCGAUUCACCCGUCUGUAAGCGCCGCCGUUUUAUAUCUUCAGUCGCCGAUCUAAAAUUUCUAAACUUAAGAUCCUUCUCCGAUCAGCUCACGAUUGAAACGGCGUCGUUGCAGCAAAAAAAAUCAUCGCUUUUAACUUCACACACACGAUUCUUAUUCUCUUUCCCUUUAAAAUUUUUGAUUAAUUUUACUCAAAUUCUUUUUUUUUUUGUUUUCCUUUUAAUAGGACAAUUUUUUUUUCUAUAAAUUGAAUAAUUCUAGCAUCGAUUCUUCUUCUUUUUUUCCCUUCGAUUUGAAAUGACGUCGGGGACGAGGCUACCGACAUGGAAAGAACGAGAGAAUAACAAGCGGAGAGAGCGGCGGAGGAGAGCAAUAGCAGCGAAGAUCUUCGCCGGACUUCGGAUGUACGGUAACUAUAAGCUUCCGAAGCACUGCGAUAACAACGAAGUUCUCAAAGCUCUUUGUAACGAGGCCGGUUGGACCGUCGAACCCGAUGGAACUACUUAUCGUAACGUAAAUUACUAUCUUCACUUGAACUUUUUUUUCUGCUCUUUGUUAGUUUAUUGAUUAAUCUUAUUAGGGAAAAGAUAGAAGAUAAUGCCAAUGGAACGGUUAUUGUUUUGUUUGAAAAUGAAAUUUCACUGAAAAUAUACGUUUUGUUAAUAGCUUGUUUGAGCUCUAAGAUUGCUUGUUUUAUUUUGUUUGUAAUUUUUGAAAAAUCGAGACAACGGAAAAUUGCUAUUUCGGAAUUUACUCUCUUUAUCGAUUUCUUUUGGUAAUGGAGUAAUAAUAAAUUAAUAAUUACAAAAAAUUCCAAUAAAACUGCGGUCCGUAUGCUAAUUUGUGCCGCUUCUUGCGGUGCAUGUUAAUCAACGGAAGUGUCCCCGUUGUGCUAACAUACGCCGAUUCUGGCGGGCUAAUGUUGAAAUCGGAGAAACAGGAAGAUCUGCUGCCAACGGUUAAAAUGCACGGCUCGAACCGGAGUUACUGUUUUACACACGGCAUCAAUUUGUUUUUUAAUUCUUUUCACUGCUUUUGUUUAUUAGUGUUUCUUCUUGUUUGAGGUAUUAGUGUAAUUUUGUAUGCUGGAUCAGGGCAGAAGCGUCAUUUUAUUAGUCUUCUCUUAUUUAGAUCUGGUCAGCCCUCUUUUGUAAUAUCUUUUUAUUAUGUGUUUUUUUACUCUUACUUUAGCCAACGCGUGAGCCGUGAAGUACCAACGAAAGAUGCUCUCUUUCUUUGAUGACCGUAUUCCAUAUAACUUGUAGUUAUUCCAGAUGAGAAAGAACAUGGGACUGAUCAUCACACUUAAAAAAGAAACCCAAUUUGCAUAGAUCUCGAGGAGAAAGACCUAACUACCCUUGUUAAAUUGAUGAUUGUGACUGUAGUUUUUGCACCAUGUGAAUUUACAGUGUGCUCUGAUUUACUCUUUUUUUUUUUAAUUGCUAAGUAACAAAGAGUCACUCGUUUGCACAGUUCCCCACUUUGCCUAACUUUCAUUUUCAGUUGAUCAUACAAGAAUUUGCGUUUUCUUUAGACUUGGCAAUCCGUUUGUGUUUGUAUUUUUUUAAUAAUUGUGUUUAAGCCUUUAAGGUUUUAUAGAUAUAAUAAUAUUUUUAUACGCAAAUAAUUGAUUUUAUAUAGAUUCUGGCACAUGUUAUGUUUCUUAUUUAUUUUGUUUGUUUAUGGUUGCUUGGCUGUAUUUACAAAUUAUCACACCUUUUGGCCAAUUUAUUACCCCAUUUUUAUUAUCACACCUUUUGGCCAAUUUAUUACCCCAUUUUUACUUGUUUUGAUGUCUUAGCUUGAUUACUCAACUAAUUUAAUUAGUACGGCCUACAAUUGUUUAGAACUCUGAAUCAGAUGGACUAUGUCUAAGACUGCAGCUCAAAGGCGGAGUUGAGGUUUUUAUCAUGCAUAAAACAAGGGUUUUUGCUUCUAAGCAAACUGAGGAUUUAGCAGAGAGAUGAGGUUUUCAGGGUAGAUAUUGUGAUUUGUAUGUCUGAUAUGUGAACUGGUGGAAUAACAUUGUGUAAAAUGACCCAAUUACUAAAGCUCCAAUUAGCUGAUAUUGUUCACAUAUGAAAUGUUUUAAAAUGGAAAAUAGGAUUAUUUUGAUGGAAAAGCGAAAUGAAGGGGUGAAUAUAAUGAUGCCCUAGUGUGGUGGAAUUAAUGACAUUCAUAAGAACUCGAAUUGCAUGUCUAAUCAAAUGAUGGAAUGAGUUUUGGUUUCUGAGAUGCUAUUUGUUUAAAUUUCCUAUUUCCUGGGUUGAGCAUACUUUGCAGUUAUGGUAAUUUUAUCGCUGCAUGUGAUUCUAGGAAUUUAGGGCACUGAUAAAUAUCUAAUUUCUGCAGGGUUGCAAGCCUGUGGAGCGCAUGGAUAUAGUAGGUGGAUCUGCAACAGUGAGCCCCUGUUCAUCUUACCACCCAAGCCCUCGUGCUUCUUACAAUCCGAGCCCUGCAUCAUCAUCUUUUCCAAGCCCAGCUUCUUCUUCGUAUGUGGUUAAUCCCAAUGGUGAUGUGAAUUCUCUUUUCCCAUGGCUCAAAAACCUCUCAUCUGCAUCCUCAUCAGCAUCCUCUUCCAAGCGUCCCUAUAGCUAUAUUCAUGGUGGUUCCAUCAGUGCUCCUGUCACCCCUCCAUUGAGCUCACCAACUGCUCGAACCCCACGAAUGAAAAAUGAUUGGGAGGACCAAUCUGCCCUUCCAGGUUGGAGUGCACAACAACAUUCUUUCCUGCCUUCUUCAACUCCCCCUAGUCCUGGUCGUCAAAUUGUUCCUGACCCAGAGUGGUUUUCUGGACUCCAAACCCCUCAUAGCCGACCAACUUCUCCCACAUUCAGCCUUGUCUCCUCAAACCCCUUUGGCUUCAAGGAGGAAGUUUUAGCCGGUGGGGGUUCCCGCAUGUGGACUCCCGGGCAAAGCGGGACAUGCUCACCUGCAAUAGCUGCAGGUUUAGAUCAGACAGCUGAUGUUCCAAUGUCUGAAGUUAUUUCCGAUGAGUUUGCAUUCGGAAGCAAUGCAACAGGGCUAGUAAAGCCAUGGGAAGGAGAGAGGAUUCAUGAAGAAUGUGGAUCAGAUGAUCUAGAACUCACUCUUGGCAGUUCCAAGACUAGGUGAGUUUGUAAGCUCGUUGCAUCAAUUAGCUAAAAUUGACCAUUUUUUAACCUUGUUACCUUAACUGCAGAUAAAAGUCCGUGUGAGAAAAAAAAUCACUGCCCUCUGAGUGUGAACUUCGAUCCCAUAUUUAUGCUCUCCGGAAAAAGAAGGGAACAAAAGGGACUCGAGGUGAGCCCGAGUCUGAGCCGUUACUCGCUCUUGUUUUAGUUUUCAUUAAUUUUUGAAAAUUUAACUCUGAAUUAUACAUAUAUAGUUUGUACUGAAGGCACCGAGGUAGUUUCAUAGCCUCGUAAUCGUCGGCCCUUCUCUAUUUAGAUCUUAAUUUUCCCAAAAGGAAAGAACCGUUAUACUUGUAUGAUUGUUCUUGGUUUUUGUUUAGGUUUGCCAUUAGAAGAAAUGCCUGAAUGACUGUUUCUCAAUGGCGGAAUCAUUUGUGAGAAUUAGGAUAGGUUAAAGUUUUACCAUUUUCUCGUUGUACAUCGCACACAUUUUAACCUUAUCAUUUUGUCACGCUUUUGAGUAUCCAAGUCCACUUCAUCUUUUCCUUUUUUUAUUUUAUUAUUUUCAAUCCUUUUUCUUUUUUAAAUCCAUCUGUUUACAGUUUUUGUUGACCACACCACUGCGAUUUCUGCUAAUGGAACUAUCGGAAUUGCUGUAUUAUGUCACGUUUUUUGUUUUUAUAUUCACAAAACAUGUGAAUGUGGGAAGGUAAAUGAUUUCAGCUACGGAUGCUAUUUUCAGUGCUAUUGCUAUAUAUAUAUAUAUAUAUAUAAUUUGAAAUCAAACCAAAAGAAAAGGAAAAUAAAAUAAAAACAAGAGUGGGUGGAUUCGGAUUGGGUAUUUUUUUUGGAUUCAUAUUAUUGUUUGAAUUGUUUUUAAUUUGGGUUUUCUCGAGCUUUGAUUUUUUUGAGCUCGGCUCUUUUGGAUUUGGAUUUUUUGGGCUUCGGAUGGAUUUUAACAUAUUCAUAUAAUUUUUGAAUUUUUAAAUUAUAAGUAUUUUAAUUUUAAUUAUAAUAUAAUAGCACAAUUUAAAUUUAUUUUAUUAAAAGUAUAAAUUAUAUAUAAUAUUCAUUAAUGUUACAUAUUUUAAUUAUUAUUAAAAUAUAUAUAAAAAUACGGGUAUUAAAAAAAUAUUAAAUUGAUGAAAAUAAUAAAAUUAAAUAUUCAUAUUCUAAAAUAUAUAUUUCGAAAUCCAAAUGUUUUAUUCUAAACUCAAAUCUAAUAAAAUAUAGAUAAUUAUCUAAACUGAAAAUAAAUUAAUAAAUUAAUUAUGUUUAUAAUUUCAAGCUCAAAAUAAAAUGAAAUAUUCAAAUUCAAUUUGUAUUUUUUAAAAACACAAUUUAAAAUCUAAUUUAAUAAGAACAAUAUUUCAUUAAGAUGUCAAAAUUUUUAUAAUAUUUUAUAUAUUACCAAUUAUAUAUAUGUAUUGUAAUAUACUAAAUUACAACAAUUACUGGUACUAUAAUGUAUUAAUAUAUUAUAUAAUAUUAUAUUAUUUAUACUAGAAUCUAUCAUAUUAAUAAAAUAUACAUCAUUAUAUCAAAUUAAUAGAAAAUGACAUAUAUUAAAAUUACGAGUAUUAUUAACAAUUUAACAGAAUAAAUAUUUAUAUAUAUAUAUUAGAUAAUCAUAUAAUACCAUUUUAUUGUACGUAAAGGCUACUAAUUUAGAUUGUAUUCUCAAUUGAUAUGAAAAAAACGACAAAUUUAUUUAAACUUUAUAUGGAUGACAAAUACAACUACUUUGAUAAAUUUAAUGAUUAAAUUGUUAAAAUAAGAUAUAUAUAUAUAUUAAUGGUUUUAGUAAUAAUCAUAUAUUAUAUUAUUAUAAUAUGUAAUAGUAUAUUAUUUAUUAUAGUUAAUGAUUAAAACCAAAGUAAAAGAAUGAAUCAAGUCAAUUCAAUCAAAUCGUAUUCGUUAACUUAGUUUUGAUUUUAGACAGAUUAAUAGUUAUAAAAUAUAUUAUUAAAGAAAGGCAAUAUAACAUAUACUAUAAUAGUAAUACAUGAUACAUUAAUUAUUAUAUCUGUUUUGUUUAUUAUUAUAUUAUGUAAUGUUAUAUUAUAUCAUAUAUAAUAUUGUAAUGUUUUAUUUGUAUGCAUUAAACAUUGUAAUGUUAUAUAAUACUAUAUCUUUUUACUAUAAUUUAUUAAUAGUUUUAGUAGUAGUAUAUUAUCUAUUAUAGUUAACCCUUAAAACCAACUUAAUAAACCGAAUAAAAAAAUUCUAUAAUUCAAUCAAAUUGGUUUAAUUAAGUAGAUUUUGUGUUUGGACUGAUUAAAAUUUUAUACCCGAAUCCAAAUUUGAAUAUAUUAUAUCAAUGCCUAAAUUCACUCUCUAAAACCCAAAUCCCAAAUAAAAAUAACACAUUUUCUGAAAUCCAAACCUAAAAUAUAAUUUUACCCAACUCAAAUUCAUAAAUAUUAAAUAAUUAAAAUUAGGAAGAAAGGAGUCCUGCUAGUUUAUAGAUUUGAUUAAUAAAUAAUUUUAUAUCUUUACUUUUAAGAAAUAUUUUUAUAUGUUUAUUAUACAUAUAUAAUUAUUGUAUUAAAAAUAUUUUAUAUUCAUAUAUUUAUUAAAUUAAGUGAUAAGAAUUAUGAAUAAUUAAAAAAUGUUCUAUUGAUGCUGAAAUUAAAACUUUUGUUGUGUUGAUUGAGCUUAUCCUUUAGCGUGUACAACGGAUGUUUAUUAUUUUUUUCCCCCGAAUUGUAUGAUUUUAUUCAUUUCAUGAAUUAAUUUUUAAUAUAAAUAUGUAAUAUUUAUGAAAAUAUUUUCAUAAAAUAAAUAAAUAAAAUUAAUUUUUUUAAGUAAUAUCAUAUAAUUAUAUUAAUUAUUAAUGCUUAUUCUAUUUGUUCAAUUAUAGAUUUAGGUAUUUUAGAUUCAAAUUUUUUGAACUCGAAAUGAUUGAGUUAGAAUUUUUUUUUUAUAAAAUUAACUCAAAAAUAUUCUUAUAUCAAUGGAAAUUAUAAGUACAGCACUGUAAAAAUACCAGACAAAUGAAGAAACACAAACUUUACUUUUUUUCCAAGCAAGUUACCGGAUCAUUUAAAAAAAAACAGAGAGACCUUCAUUUAUUCUAUGCAUAGGUCCUAUUUUUCCAAGGUUUUACCAUUCUAAUCAUGUGAAGAAUGUGGUGACUUUGGAAAGAUAGUGAGAUCCAUAACACCUCAAAUUAUUUAUUUUUUCUGAUCUCUGAAUCUGAUAGGUCUGAAACACUUUAACAUACUUUCCACCAUAGUGGUAGUUUCAAGCUUUGCAUGAUCACAUCGGUCUAAUUUCUUUCCAUUGUUCAUGAGGAUGUGGUCUCCGGCCGGGACAUGGUCGAGGCCUCAUCGCGAACGGAUAUCCGCCAUGUCUUUCUAUGCUUUCCUUAAUUGCUUCUCUGCCUUGUUCUAUCAAUGAAGGCUUAUCAGUACUGCUUCGAAAAUUAUAGGCUUUAGGCUGUUCUUCAGCCGCCAACUUUACCAUAAAAAACUCAACAAACAAGCGAGCCCCAGAGCUCGAAAUCAAGAACAAAGCAAACAGUGAAAUACAGAACAAUACUUUGAAACUAGCCAUUUCAGACCUCUAAUCUGCGUUACUGAUAUUCUGCAUGAAUGCUUCAAGGGUGGGUCCUAUUUAUAGCCCUAAUUUGUCCACCACUUUCUGUAUGAUAAUAAAUAAAUGAAGUUAUUUGGUCGGAUUAAACCUUACUUAGGCGUUGCAACAAUAUCAAAUCGGGUGAGUUGGAAUCAUUAAUAAAAAGUUGUCUGAUGUGGAUCCCCUUGAUUCCUUGGGUUUUAAUAUCUAUCGAGUUCAAUUUUUUAUCAGUAGCUUACUACGUACGAGACUCCAUUUCAAUGGGUGCUCAAUCGAAACUCCACUUAUUCUUUUCCCUUCUGAUAAAAGAGAGAAAAAUAAAUAAACCAACAGCUACACCCAGCACCAUUCUUACCUCAUGUAUAUAUAUCAUCAUGCAGUACUUGAAGUAUCACUGCCGGAGGAUAAAAAGAUAAACUGGGAACACUAAUAAUUUAUAGACACUUUGAAUCAAAGCAAUUUUCGGGCAUAGACCAGUUAGCAUUAGCAGUUGCAGAUAACAACCCCCCGAAUCAGCCACUAUUGAGUCCAAGCGUGCAUUGGUUGAAGAAGGAAGGGAAGCCAUUAAAGCAAGCAUUGCAAUAAAUGGAGGACUUCCAUACGAGACAAAACGGAGAAGUCCAAGGGGACCUGAUCUUCAUCAUCAUUAAUAAUUGUAAAAAUAUAACAUUGGUAAUGACAAUGUAUCGUAAAGAAAAAUAUGAAGAAAAAUAAAAAAUACACAGAUUUUACAUGAAAAUCCUUUCGAAAAAAAAACACGAGCAGAAGAAAAGAUAAUUCACUAUGACGAAUUUGAAUAAUUACAAGAGGAAUAAAUUCGAGUCACUUAAUGCUAAAACAAAAGUUCAUCUUGGAUUAGUGUGGCAUUAAUUGUAUCUUCAAAGUCGGUAAUAUGCUUUGGCAAAGCUGAAAUAACAUGGUUAAUGUUCACCUUCUUUCAUAAACUUUAGUAGAAAAGAAAAUAUUAUCUUUCCAAUACAAUCGUGUCCCAUUUGACCAUACUUAAAAUAUCCUGGAAAAAGCUUCAUCUGAUCUGGAUCCCAAAGAAGAAAAAAGAAAAAAGAAUCAUCUUUCCAAUAAAAUGGUGUCCCAUUUGACCAAGCAUAAAAUAUCCUGGAAAAAGAUGCAACCCUAUUCAUGCACCCCAACCUAUUGGGUGUCUAAAGAAAUUAGGAUAAAUUAUGAAAAUAGUCACUUUUAUUUGUAUUGAAUUAUAAUUUUAUAGUUUAUUCAACAAAUUAAUUACAUCUAGCAGAGUAAAAAGUUCCAUUACAGCCCAAGUCAUUGUUAUCUUUCCAAAUCUCUAAACCUCAUGGGACAAUAUUUUUUUAUUUUUGUUUAAAGUUUUCUAUAUUUGGUAAUUAUAUUGGAUUAUUAAAGAAGAAAAGGUCAUCUUCAUGACUAGUGACAGAACUUCACAAUCAUUGAGCAAUAGAGUGAGAUGUUACUUCAUUGCCACUGAAUUAAUUUUUUAGUCAAAUGGGAUAACUUAUUUUAUUCAAUGGAUACCUUCUUCUUUACAUUUUCUUCUUCUCUUUGGGUAUAAAAUUUCAGUGCUUUCAUUAACCAUAUUCAACAAUCGUCCCCUUCUAAUCAAAUGACGAAAUCUCAAAAAGGCAAUGAGGUCUAUUGGUCGGUUUGUUUAGCGGAGGAUACACUUAAAGCCCCACUUGAUCAUGUUUUGUUCGUAACCUGUUGGAUUUGAGGAAUGAAUAUGAACCACAAAGUUUAGGGUUACAAUAUUUCAUAAUUAAAAACAAUCCUUUCCUUAUUACCGCUAAAGAAUUGCGCCGAUUGUCGAGUAGUUGGAAAAGGUUUGAUGGAUUCAAAUGGGUUUAAUAUUAAUGAGCAUUAAUCUUCAUAUAUAACAUUCCAAGGUCCAUAGUGUUUGUGAUAAUAACAGUGCACCAACAAAAUUUUUUGGAGAGUCGAAAUUAAAUUGUAUAUUUUUACUAUCGUAAAAAUAUAAAUUUAUCAUUUUAAUACUAUAUAUCUUUAUAACUUUUAAAUGAUUAAAUUAAUUUUUUAUUAUUUUAAGGGCCAAAGUACAAUUUUACCAUUACUAAUUUAAAAUUUUAUAAAUUAUGAAUGGACUAAAUAAAGAAUUUUCCAUUUUAGGCUCUGCAUAAAUCAACAUGUGAUGACAUGAUUAUAUUAUCACUAAGAGUUGGUGAAUUGAGAAAUGUUAAACAUGAAAAUUUUAUGUAAAGUUGUUCAUAAGCCGAAUCGAAUCAAGAAUUGAUUUUAAAUUAAAUUUUAUGUUUAAAAUUAUUUUCGAGCUGGCUUGAUUUGUCAAAAAAAUAAUUAAUUUCAUCAACAUAACCUUUAAAAAAACCCAAUGAAACCAAAACAAUCCUAACUCCAAGAAAAAUUGUAAUUGAUCAGAAAAAGAAAAAGUAGAAAUAAAAGUCAGAGUUAGGGUUAGAGGUGAUCAUGGAUUGGGCUACCCGGUUCGGCCCAACAGUCUGCUCGAAAAAUGGGAGGGUUCUGGUAAAAAUAUAGGCCUGAAAUAUAGGUUUGGGCAAAAAAUUGAGGCCCAUUUAGAAAAUGGGCCAAGCCUCGGGUAAGACUUGUUGGCCCGACCUAACCCGGCCCGAAUUAUAUAUUAAAUAUAUAUUUUUAUUUUUGUUUUUAAUCAAAUAUAGUUUUUAUUAAAUAUAUAAUUUUUGAAAUUUUAAUCCGAAUUAUAUAUUAAAUAUAUUUAAUUUUUUAAUUUUUAAUCAAAUAUGGGCCGGAUCAGGUUCAAACCUAGAAAAAUGGGCUAAAAUUUUGUCUUAAUCUGACUCGAUCUAACCCAUGAUCACCUCUAGGUAGGCUUGGGUGGCUUUCUAAAUCACCUCUCCAAUUUUCUUAGCUUUCAAUGGGAAUGAUUUGGAUAUAACUAGGUAAGUUAAAAGAAAAGACAACCUAACCUUGUUAUGGUGUUUGACUGAAACUUUAAUAUCUUAUUUGUUAAUCAUCUACAACAAUAUUAAAAUAAAUUCAUAAAAUAACAUCUUUUUAUUUUUAUUUUAAAUUUCAGAAUUUGAGUAAAAGUUAUCACUCCAUUAAUUUUUUUUUAAAAUGAUUUCAUAUAUAUAAAAAAGAAAAUUUUAAUUUCAUCAACAUAUCCUUUAAAAAAACUCAGUGAAAUCAAAGCAAUAUUCCAACAUCAAAAGCAACUCCAAGAAAAAUUGUAAUUGAUUAUAAAAAGAAAAAGUACAAGUAAAAGGUGAGAGUUAGGGGUAGGUGGCUUGCUUAUGUCACAAACUUAAGUAUGUUUAUGUCACAACCUAAAUCAUGGUUUUAAAUAAUAAUAAAAAAAGUAGUUUUUCAAAUCAAAUUUUGAUUUUAAGUUAGGGAUAAGUUAAAUGGUCAAAAUUUUUAACUUUUGAAAAAGUAUUUUUUAAUAAAAUUAUUUUUUUAUCCCCUCGUUAAAGCUUUUACUUUACAAGAUCAAGUCUAGGAUAGGUAUUUUAUUUUCUUAUAAGUAUUUAUGGACAACCAUGAUAAACAUUAUCAAAAUUUUUAAAAGUAUUUUUCAACCUCAAUGGUAAACUAGCUCUUAAAAAUUUUGGGAGGCACAAGUGAUACAAAUAAAGAAAAGCCCAAUUAUUACUACGGUGUAUGUUUUUUGGCAUAAUGAUAAAUUUAACUCUUAUUGUUUAUAUUUUUUUGUCAAUUUGAUCAUUAUUCAUUUUUUAGUUAAAUUUGACACUUAACCCUUUUAAAAAGAGCCAAAUUUAACCAUCAACUUUUCAGAAAGAGUUGAAUGAAAGGCAUUGCUUUAUUAUUAUUAUGGAGUUUAUACUCAACUGUCGCUAAAGAUUUAACACUUGAAUAACUAAAAUGAAAACGCCCUGAAAAUUAGGUGAUAAAAUUGUGAAGAUUUCAUUUUGGACACCCAAACCAUAAAAAUUAAGCAAACGAUCGAGAGUUUACCGUAAUUUUAGUUUUGAUUACUUUAUGGUUGUUAAUUAAUUAGACUUUAGGAAUACAUAUUUAAAUUAAUUUAUGGUUGACAAUAUAGACUUCAUUUUGAUAAUUAAUUACAUUGUAACUCAUUACCAUUAUCUUUUUCUAUUAUCAAAAUAACUAUAAGGUCCAAUUACAAAUGAAACUCUUCUUUUCUUCUAGUCAAAUGUAGGUUAUCCAUCCUUCUUCUUUAACCUCUCAUGUUGUGGAUUGUCCAUUCAACACCACAUCCCACACCAUACAAAGUAGACUUAAUUUGCCACCUGUACUGUUAACAUCUUGAACCAGGAGUUGCCUGAUACCAAAUUACCAUUCCAACAUAUUCCACAACAUGUAUUUAACAAUAGUUACUAAUUUUGAGUACUGUAAGAGUGCUAAAACCUCAAUCACUCGUGACUAACUUUCAAAUCUGAUUUGUACUUUGAUUGGCAAUGUUGUCUUUUUAAAAUAAUUUUUAAUUUUUUUAGAAAAGAGACCAUCUUAUGAGUUCAAACACAUUUAGCUAAAAAAAACACUGACAACACCUUUUAUACUAACUAAAAACUCCCAAGUUUUUCUCAAGUAAAAUUUUUUUUAACAUUAUUGAUUUUUUUUAAUUUACAUUUAAAAUUUGAUCGCCACAAUCGUGAAAGUGUGAUGAGUUCAGGAGAUGGAGUAAUAGAUAUACAAUAAUAAUAUAAUAGAGUUACUUAUGAACUAAGGAUUACAUAUUACGUAUAUGUGGAAUAAUAGCAUGUAGUGGCGGAGUGUAGUAGAGAAUCAGGGGUUAUGGUCCCUUAAAAUGAUAAAUUUUUAAUUUAGGCCUUUUAUAAUUUAUAGAAUUUUAAAUUAGUAAUAAUAAAAUUAUACUUUGGCCUCUCAAAAAUGAUAAAAAAAUUAAUUUAACCCUUAUAAAAAUAUAGACUAUUAAAAUGAUGAAAUUAUAAUUUUACUAUCAUAAAAAUAUACAAUUUAAUUUCAAUCCCUAAAAGAUUUCAAGCUCUGCCACUAUGUGAAUUUCGAGCUAAAAGUGCUAAUAUGAUGUUGUCAUACAUGAAUUUUUUUUUUUAGAAAAAAAAGAAAGAAAGUUGAUGUGAAAGUGGGAAAAGAAAAAUAAUAAAAAAAAUAUUGUUAAUAAAUAUGUUAGAUUGUUGUUAGACAAUUAACGAUAGAUCGCUUUAGCGCACUCAAACCCGUGUCUUCUUGCACUAGCAACAAUGCUAAUGCCAACUGAACUAAGACUCAAUCGGCAUUAGUUAUAUUUAACUCAAUCAAAUCCAUCACUUGAUUUACUUUUAUUGCAUUUUAUAACAAUUUCUACGUUUGUCAACAAAGUCAUCCACCCAUGGCAGAAAGCUCUUUUGCUUCCAUUACUGUUAUACAUUUCAUCCGAAUGCUCAAAUUCACUGCUUACAGUGACAAUAGAUCGCC